UUCAUUAACCAAAUAUAAGUGCCACCACAAUAGAGACCCUCAAGUUAACCUAGUCCCAAACUCAAUCACCAUUGACGAGAGCUAAACUAACAGGCAUUACGAAUCAACAAGUUAAAGCCAAAACGCUCCCUGCAACCAAUACCUUGUUACAGGCCCACAAAUCUCUGGAAUUAGUGGUUCAGACAUUUCAUCGAACACCUUUUGGGCGCGGAAAUGUCUGGGCUCAAAUUCCAGUUGAUUAGAAAGCAAUAGGCAUUAAGAACAACUAAUCCAGAAGGGAUCUAUCAAUCAAACUCAACCACCUAGCAUAAUCAAAAUUCUAAACUACUCUAACCCAUCCUCAGAAACCUAUUCACUACUCAUACAUCAUUGCAGAAAACAUAAACGGUGAAUGGAAUGAAACCAUGAUAACAACAGAGUAAAACCGGGAUGGUAAUAGGAUGAGCAACAGUAAACGGAAUCAAGAACAAAUACUGAAUACUAAAUACUGAAUAUUUAAAGAGAAAUCUGGAUUACAAAAGGUCAAGAACACAGUGUCUACGGAAUAAAACCUAGAAAGAACUUGUUCUCGAAAAUGUAAAGUACAUGCUACUUAUAGCAAAAUAUUCCGAAACCCUAAUACUCAAAACGACGCAGUAUUGGGACGGAUUAAGAACUGUACUUGACCCAGGUGGUCGAGUGAGUGGUCGAGUGAUAAGCGGGAGUAUUCUUUUCUUCCUUGUGCUCGAGUGUCUGGUUGAGUGCACAAGGGAGAAGACUCUGAAGCUUGCCAUCGAGUAUGUAGUCGAGUGGUGGUGAUGGUGAUA
rnacentral:sRNA from 1 species